CUUUGGUUUGACCGUUAAAGUUUGAAUAUCUAUCAUCAGUGACUGAAGUGGAAGAGAGAAUAGCAGAUCGAAUUAGCCUACUGAAGGAUCAACACGGAAUUUCAAAAGAAUCACAAUUGUCCCACUUCAAUCCAAGUUCCUGUCUCCAAGCAAUGAUUAAGCAAAUUACUGAUUGUGAUAUAGAUGCUGGCCAAGUGUCUCCUGAAGGGACUUUGUAUCUACACGGGGGAAGAUCCUGAAAACUUUGUGCAGGAAUAUGUGGUAUGUACAUGAACAUGUCUAUUUUCACAUUCAUUUCUCAAUAGGGCUUUGUUAGAGGGUCUCAUUUUCUUACUGUUAUGUGCAUUUGUCUGCCUAAUUCAGGGCAUGGAUGAAGUUGAUGUCAUUGAAGACAACUGGGGUUUAUGUCCUGAGAGAACAUGAGUCAAGUGAACCAGAGGACAUUGGGGUUGUACUCCAAGGAAUAAAGUUUUGACAGAUCUACAUGGCAUACCGUUAGCUGUCACUAUGAUGUCGUUGUUGAUAACCUCAUGUACCUGCCCAUGCUUAGAUACACCUUUGAGGCAUUGCAAAAAAUCUUUAUGGAGCUGGAUGAAGGCAAACUCCCAAGGUUGGUUAAAGAACAACCUGUUUCAGUGAAUGACUUUCCAUUUUUAUUUUUUGAAAAAGAAUACU